rnacentral:rRNA from 1 species
CGAAGGGGGCUAGCGUUGUUCGGAAUUACUGGGCGUAAAGCGAGUGUAGGUGGUUUUCCAAGUUGGAUGUGAAAGCCUUGAGCUCAACUCAAGAAAUGCAUUCAGGACUGGGAGACUAGAGGACCGGAGAGGAUAGUGGAAUUCCCAGUGUAGUGGUGAAAUACGUAGAGAUUGGGAAGAACACCAGUGGCGAAGGCGGCUAUCUGGACGGUUUCUGACACUAAGACUCGAAAGCGUGGGGAGCAAACAGGAUUAGAUACCCUGGUAGUCCACGCCGUAAACGAUGGGUGCUAGACGUUGGCGAGCUUGCUCGUCAGUGUCGCAGCUAACGCGUUAAGCACCCCGCCUGGGGAGUACGGCCGCAAGGUUG